GAUGAACGCUAGCGGCAGGCUUAACACAUGCAAGUCGAGGGGUAUAGUUCUUCGGAGCUAGAGACCGGCGCACGGGUGCGUAACGCGUAUGCAAUCUACCUUUUGCAGAGGGAUAGCCCAGAGAAAUUUGGAUUAAUACCUCAUGGUAUGUGAGAAUGGCAUCAUUUUCACAUUAAAGUAACAACGGCAAAAGAUGAGCAUGCGUCCCAUUAGCUAGUUGGUAAGGUAACGGCUUACCAAGGCAACGAUGGGUAGGGGUCCUGAGAGGGAGAUCCCUCGCACUGGUAGUGAGACCCGGACCAGACUCCUACGGGAAGCAGCAGUGAGGAAUAUUGGACAAUGGGCGCAAGCUUGAUCCAGCCAUGCCGCGUGCAGGAUGACGGUCCUAUGGAUUGUAAACUGCUUUUGUACAGGAAGAAACACUGGUUCGUGAACCAGCUUGACGGUACUGUAAGAAUAAGGAUCGGCUAACUCCGUGCCAGCCGCCGCCGUAACAC
rnacentral:rRNA from 1 species